rnacentral:rRNA from 1 species
UACGUAGGGUGCAAGCGUUGUCCGGAAUUAUUGGGCGUAAAGAGCUCGUAGGCGGUCUGUCGCGUCUGCUGUGAAAACUCAGGGCUUAACCCUGAGCUUGCAGUGGGUACGGGCAGACUAGAGUGCGGUAGGGGAGACUGGAAUUCCUGGUGUAGCGGUGAAAUGCGCAGAUAUCAGGAGGAACACCGGUGGCGAAGGCGGGUCUCUGGGCAGUAACUGACGC